rnacentral:rRNA from 2 species
UAGGGAAUAUUGGGCAAUGGGCGCAAGCCUGACCCAGCAACGCCGCGUGAGGGAAGAAGGUUUUCGGAUUGUAAACCUCUGUCCUUGGUGACGAAACAAAUGACGGUAGCCAAGGAGGAAGCCCCGGCUAACUACGUGCCAGCAGCCGCGGUAAUACGUAGGGGGCGAGCGUUGUCCGGAAUUACUGGGCGUAAAGGGUGCGUAGGCGGCUGUUUAAGUUGGAUGUGAAAUCCCCGGGCUUAACCUGGGGGGUGCAUUCAAAACUGGGCAGCUAGAGUACAGGAGAGGGAAGCGGAAUUCCUAGUGUAGCGGUGAAAUGCGUAGAUAUUAGGAGGAACACCAGUGGCGAAGGCGGCUUUCUGGACUGUAACUGACGCUGAGGCACGAAAGCGUGGGGAGCAAACAGG